AUUGAACGCUGGCGGCAGGCCUAACACAUGCAAGUCGAGCGAGCGGCGGACGGGUGAGUAAUGCCUAGGAAUCUGCCUGAUGGAGGGGGAUAACUACUGGAAACGGUAGCUAAUACCGCAUACCAUCAGAUGUGCCCAGAUGGGAUUAGCUAGUUGGUGGGGUAACGGCUCACCAAGGUGACGAUCCCUAGCUGGUCUGAGAGGAUGACCAGCCACACUGGAACUGAGACACGGUCCAGACUCCUACGGGAGGCAGCAGUGGGGAAUAUUGCACAAUGGGCGCAAGCCUGAUGCAGCCAUGCCGCGUGUAGGAAGAAGGGCUUCGGGUUGUAAAGUACUUUAAGCGGGGAGGCGUUACCCGCAGAAGAAGCACCGGCUAACUCCGUGCCAGCCGCCGCGGUAAUUC
rnacentral:rRNA from 1 species